AGCGAACGCUGGCGGCAGGCUUAACACAUGCAAGUCGAGCGGGCAUCUUCGGGUGUCAGCGGCGGACGGGUGAGUAACGCGUGGGAACGUGCCUUCUGGUUCGGAAUAACUCAGGGAAACUUGAGCUAAUACCGGAUACGCCCUUUUGGGGAAAGGUUUACUGCCGGAAGAUCGGCCCGCGUCUGAUUAGCUAGUUGGUGGGGUAACGGCCUACCAAGGCGACGAUCAGUAGCUGGUCUGAGAGGAUGAUCAGCCACACUGGGACUGAGACACGGCCCAGACUCCUACGGGAGGCGGCAGUGGGGAAUAGUGGACAAUGGGGGCAACCCUGAUCCAGCCAUGCCGCGUGAGUGAUGAAGGCCUUAGGGUUGUAAAGCUCUUUUUUCCGGGACGAUAAUGACGGUACCGGAGGAAUAAGCCCCGGCUAACUUCGUGCCAGCCGCCGCCGUAA
rnacentral:rRNA from 1 species